UGGGGAAUAUUGCGCAAUGGGGGAAACCCUGACGCAGCGACACCGCGUGAGUGAAGAAGUCUUUAGGGAUGUAAAACUCUGUCAAGAGGGACGAUUAUGACGGUACCUCUAAAGGAAGCACCGGCUAACUACGUGCCAGCAGCCGCGGUAAUACGUAGGGUGCGAGCGUUAUCCGGAAUUAUUGGGCGUAAAGAGCAUGUAGGCGGUAAGAUAAGUCAGAUGUUAAAUCUUUCAACUCAACUGGAAGUUGCAUUUGAUACUGUUUUACUAGAGAUCAGUAGAGGAAAGCGGAACUCACGGAGUAGCGGUGAAAUGCGUAGAUAUCGUGAGGAACACCAGUUGCGAAGGCGGCUUUCUGGACUGAUUCUGACGCUGAGAUGCGAAAGCGUGGGGAGCGAACGGG
rnacentral:rRNA from 1 species